rnacentral:rRNA from 1 species
UUCUGGCUCAGGAUGAACGCUAGCUACAGGCUUAACACAUGCGAGUCGAGGGGCAGCGGGGAUCUAGCUUGCUAGAUUGCCGGCGACCGGCGCACGGGUGAGUAACGCGUAUCCAACCUUCCCCUUAGUAGGGCAUAGCCCGUAGAAAUGCGGAUUAAUACCCUAUGUUAUUCGUCGAGGACAUCUGAAGUGAAUCAAAGGUUUACCGCUAAGGGAUGGGGAUGCGUCUGAUUAGGCAGCAGGCGGGGUAACGGCCCACCUGGCCUACGAUCGGUAGGGGUUCUGAGAGGAAGGUCCCCCACAUUGGAACUGAGACACGGUCCAAACUCCUACGGGAGGCAGCAGUGAGGAAUAUUGGUCAAUGGGCGAGAGCCUGAACCAGCCAAGUAGCGUGCAGGAUGACGGCCCUAUGGGUUGUAAACUGCUUUUAUGCGGGGAUAAAGUCACCCACGUGUGGGUGUUUGUAGGUACCGCAUGAAUAAGGACCGGCUAAUUCCGUGCCAGCCGCCGC